rnacentral:lncRNA from 1 species
UUUAGACAAAAACGUUUCAUUCAAUAUAAAAAAAUCAUAUUAGGCAAAAGUGGAAUAAAAGACAAAUAUAAAUAGUAGCAUAAAAUAAUAUCAAAGACAUUAUAAUAAAACAUACAAAAAUAUAUGAGAUGAGAGAUUAGAGAAGAUGAAAAAAAGAACAUAAGAGAUGCGAGAUUAAGAAGAAAAGUGCAAUAAAAACGUAAUUGGAAGAGAAAAUAGUA